rnacentral:snRNA from 1 species
UUUGGUUCUGUGGCAACCACG